AUGGGGUCAAGCAGGGAGAGAGUGGACGUGAGCAGUGCUGACAGAGACCCUGCUUUGAGGGAAGCAGUUCAGGUCCGGGCAGGCCUUGACCACCUGACAGUUCCAGAACCUUCUUUUUGUUUCUUCAUGAGACUGGCUCCUUGUCUCCGCAGCUGAAUCAUGCUCCAUGGAUCUUCCCUUCCAGGACUCGCUGAUGAAACUGAGAGGUGUCUUCACCUUUCUCCUAAACGUGACAUGGGGUGAUGAGAACCCAUGGUUCCCGGGAGCACCUGUCUCUAUGAGCAACAGGCAUAGCGCAUCUGCAGGCAACGUUGUACCCGUCUGUCCGGAUCGCCACUGGAAAUCACACGCCAGAAGCUGAGCCUGGGCCGGUAGGCGGGUCGGGGUUCCUCAGCACAGAAUGACUCUUGCCGAGUGCACGGCCUGGAGCUCUCCCUCCUGAACCCGAGACCCGGCUGGGGACACCCAGACGGUCGUCUCAGGCUGGAGGAAACCCAGCGGGGCUCUGUUUUCUGAAUUCCUGGGGUCCCUUCACUUGUAAAAAAUGCCUUCACUGAGAUGUGGUUCCCACUCACACAAGUCACCUGGGGCAAGUACACAAUAAAGUGGUUUUGGUGUACUCGUGGGUGGUGCCAGCAUCGCUCCGGUGAGUUUCAGAACGUUGACGGUGAAGGGUAUCAUCGCCCCAUUCCCCCAGCCUCCGGCCACCGCUGAUCUGCUUUGUCUACAGGUUUCCCUGUUCUGGGCGUUUCACAUAAAUGGCGUCGUAUAGCA